AUUGAACGCUGGCGGCAGGCCUAACACAUGCAAGUCGAGCGGAUGAAGGGAGCUUGCUCCUGGAUUCAGCGGCGGACGGGUGAGUAAUGCCUAGGAAUCUGCCUGGUAGUGGGGGAUAACGUCCGGAAACGGGCGCUAAUACCGCAUACGUCCUGAGGGAGAAAGUGGGGGAUCUUCGGACCUCACGCUAUCAUAUGAGCCUAGGUCGGAUUAGCUAGUUGGUGGGGUAAAGGCCUACAAAGGCGACGGUUCGUAACUGGUCUGAGAGGAUGAUCAGUCACACUGGAACUGAGACACGGUCCCGACUCCUACGGUAGUCAGCAGUGGGGAAUAGUGGACAAUGGGCGGAAGCCUGGUUCAGCCAUGCAGCGUGUGUGAAAAAGGUCUUCCGAUUGUAAAGCACUUUAAGUUGAGAGGAAGGGCAGUAAGUUAAUACCUUGCUGUUUUGACGUUACCUACAGAAUAAGCACCGGCUAACUUCGUG
rnacentral:rRNA from 1 species